UCUAUCCUCACAUCAGAGCCCUCAAAUGCUCUGCAAUCCCUUCUACCCUCUCUGAGCACCCUCAUCAGAGAAAAUGGUGGUUUGCGACCGAAGGCGGUAGCUUCACCUUCUUCUAUGGCGAGCCCAUACCACAAAACCUAAAACAUAAAGAACUAACCCCCACUCAUUUUUUAUAUAUAAUAUGAAUCCAAAAAUGAUCUUCCCUAAAUCCUUCUCACGCGAUCGGAUCAACCCUUAAAAAAAUUCAAAACAAAAACACAAAGAACAAAACCUUUUAAGCCAAAACCUAAUCAAAAUAUUGCCCUAAAUAACAAAUCAGAACCGGAUUUCAAGAAAGAAAAUCAAUCAACCGGAAACCCUAAUUUUUAAAUUAGGGAUCAAUUAGAAAGAAUUCAAAGAAAUCAACAUGGGGGUUCCAUUCCAAAUCACACGACAAAGAUGCGAGUACAAUAAAAUCAAACAAAAGAAGUGAAACUCACCAAAUCGGAGCAAGUCCGAUGAAGUCUCCAGCGACACAAAUAAGUCUUCUUUAUCUCUUCUUUAUGCUUUGUGAUGUUUUUCUUACUCUUCUCUUUUUCUUGAACCUUGUUUGGAUGCUUGGGAUGGGUUUGUGUAGCUCAACCUCACUCAAACUCUGAUAAUGAGUUUGAGAGGUUUAAUAGAAGUGAGAUUUAGUGUAGGUGAUGAGAAAGUAUCUUUCCAGCAUAACGAUAGUAUAUUCUACUCCUCUUGAAUGGAACAGUGUACUUAAAUUUAUAGAAAAAUGAAUAGGGAGUGAUAGAGUGAAAAAUACAUGAGUUUGUUAGAGUCAAUCCUUAGCUCGUGUGAAAAUAUUUAUCAGAAUAGUGAGCUGGUGGUUUUUGUGUAUUAAUCCAUUAAAAAACUUUUCCAAAAUCCAUGAUUUUAUGGAAUUCAUUUGGGAGUGGAAUGGCACGGAUUUGAUUGCUGGAAAAUGCAUUUUCUCUUUCUAUUUGUACCUGUUGACAUGUUUUGCAUGGUCCCUAGCAUUUGCCAUGUAUGACAUUUCCACUGUACGUUAAUUUACUACUAUCGUACUGGUUUUGAAUUAAUUUGAUUUUAGUUAUGUAGUGUUAAUUAAAUGUAGUAGAUCUUGUUUGAUAACGUUGCCCUGCUGUUGUUGUGAAUGGUUGAAUAUAUUUUACUGUUAUGAUGGCCUUGGUUUGAUGUGACUGCAUUGUAUUUGAACUAGUAUAGUGAUAUGAUCAUAGAAUGUAUUAUUGUUUAUACAUUUUUGCAGGUGAGUGCAUUGUUAUUUAUUUGUGGUUUUGAUCAUGGAUAAAUUGUUUGUGUUUUGUCGACUCAAUGAUGAAUUUUAGAUGACAUGGCCAAUGGGUACAAUUGGGACAUCAUGGAGGCAUUAGAUCAAAGGCUAUGAAGAAAGUAGUCUUUCUUUCCAUUUUGAUCCCAACAACAUGUCAUGUAAUUGCUAGUUAUUGAAUUGAUAACUAUUAUUGUGAUGUUGCAGGUUCAGGAUGAGUUAUAUGGCCUACUUUUUGACAUUGAUUUGCAGGCCCAUUGGAGGAAAUGAAGGCCUGCUCUUUGAACCUUGCUGACAAUUGGGCUGAUGAUGCAAUCGUCAAUGUUAUGGACUGGACUAUUAGUUGCUUGAUGUGGUUUGAAAUGAUAGGUGGGUUUGGUGUUUACAAAGGAGAAAUGGUUGUAAGGCUUUAAGGCUUAGGUAUAAUCAAGAUCAUGAUAGGGAUGAAGUUAUGAGUUUAGGAAGAAAUUAGUUAGGAAAUAGGUCUAUGUACUUGGGUAUUUCGUGUAAUGUUGAUGUACAUGUAACCUUGAAUCAUGUAAUGGUUUUAUUCUUCCAAUAAGACUUUAAACUUUCUUCCCUCCAA